rnacentral:rRNA from 1 species
CAAUAGCGUAUAUUAAAGUUGUUGCGGUUAAAAAGCUCGUAGUUGGAUUUCUGCUGAGAACGACCGGUCCGCCCUCUGGGUGUGUAUCUGGCUCUUUCUUGGCAUCUUCUUGGUGAACGUUGCUGCACUUGACUGUGUGGAGCGCUACCCAGGACUUUUACUUUGAGGAAAUUAGAGUGUUUCAAGCAGGCAUACGCCUUGAAUACAUUAGCAUGGAAUAAUAAGAUAGGACCUCGGUUCUAUUUUGUUGGUUUCUAGAGCUGAGGUAAUGAUUAAUAGGGAUAGUUGGGGGCAUUCGUAUUUAACUGUCAGAGGUGAAAUUCUUGGAUUCGUUAAAGACGGACUACUGCGAAAGCAUUUGCCAAGGAUGUUUNCAUUG